UUCCGGUUGAUCCUGCCGGACCUUACUGCUAUCGGGGCGGGACUAAGACAUGCAAGUCGUGCGUCUCUAAGCUAUGGUAGAGACGCGGCGUACGGCUCAGUAACACGUGGCUAACCUACCCUUAGGACGGAGACAACCCCGGGAAACUGGGGCUAAUACCUGAUAGGUGAGGAGGCCUGGAAUGGUUCUUCGCUGAAAAGGCGUUGAAACCAUGCUUUUCAACGUCGCCUAAGGAUGGGGCCGCGUCCGAUCAGGUUGUUGGUGGGGUAACGGCUCACCAAGCCUAUAACCGGUACGGGCCGUGAGAGCGGAAGCCCGGAGAUGGGCACUGAGAUAAGGGCCCAGGCCCUACGGGGCGCAGCAGUUGCGAAAACUCCGCAAUGCACGAAAGUGUGACGGGGCUACCCCGAGUGCCGUCCGCUGAGGAUGGCUUUUCUCCGCUGUAAGGAGGCGGAGGAAUAAGGAGAGGGCAAGACUGGUGUCAGCCGCCGCGGUAAUACCAGCUCUCCGAGUGGUAGGGGUGAUUAUUGGGCUUAAAGCGUCCGUAGCCGGCCUGGCAAGUCUUCCGUUAAAUCCAGCAACCUAAUUGUUGGGCUGCGGGGGAUACUGUUAGGCUAGGGGGCGGGAGAGGCCGACGGUAUUCUCGGGGUAGGGGUGAAAUCUUAUAAUCCCGAGAGGACCACCAGUGGCGAAGGCUGUCGGCUAGCACGCGCCUGACGGUGAGGGACGAAAGCUGGGGGAGCGAACCGGAUUAGAUACCCGGGUAGUCCCUGCUGUAAACGAUGCGAGCUAGGUGUUGGGGGCGGCUACGAGCCGCUUCAGUGCCGCAGCGAAGCGUUAAGCUCGCCGCCUGGGGGAGUACGGCCGCAGGCUGAAACUUAAGGAUUGGCGGGGGAGCACACAGGCGUGAGCUGCGUUAUGAUCACGCGA
rnacentral:rRNA from 1 species